GAAUUUAAGGGUCAACAGUGGAGGAGAAGGUAUCUCACUGGGAAUCUUUGCCUACCUGAGGCCUUCUAAAGGUUGUCAGACUGGAUGAUCAAGAUGGGCCCUUCGAGUCCUGAAGCCUAUGGAGCUCUGAUCUAAAAUGACAUGAUCACACACCACUUUCCCCUCAGCGAUGCUGACUUCAGUGCACCAGGAGUCACCAAACAAGGAUUUUGGAAGAUGCAUAUGAUUUACCAGUCUACUAUGCUAACAUCAUUUUGACAGGUGUGAUGCAUCAACACAGUAUUAUAAGCUUAAGAUAAAUUACAGCAUUCUUUUUCAUCAAGCAGCAAACUGCAGUGGAGUAUUGCACAAAGCUCAGUGUGUUCAGUCAGUAGGCAUUUGUGCCUGCAGCCUAAAAUAGAAUGUCUUUCUGUGAUGGGUUAAUCCCUCUUUGGCUCUGAUCCUGGGUAGAUUACUAGUUAUAGCAUGCCAUGAAAGACUGCUGUGUAAGGCAAGUAUUUCACUUAAGUCACUUACCACAUUUUCUGGACAACAGAAAUUUCUUGUGCAUCUGCUAGAAAUGUGGGGAUAAUUUAAUUGCCUUUGCUAAGAUUUCCAAUGUAAUUUAAUAAUCAUUUUUAUUAGAAUGUGCAUAUUGUUAGAAGUUAUCAGAACACUGUUACUCCUGGUGCAUUCUGAACAGCAGGUAGAAAAAUCAGACUUUGAUUUUGACUAGGGGUCCUAAUCAUUUCUUUUCAUAAUUUAGAGCACAAAAUGUGUUUGGUCAUUCUCUAUCACUUAUUAUCAUUAUUAUUAUUAUUAUUUUUAAUUCUGGUUGUCUGAACUGUAUGACAAGACCGCAUUCUACUUUACAUUUACCCAAAGGUCAAUAAAUAUCAGAACUUGGCAAAGAAACAAUGAAUAUUCUUCAAACAUUUCCCUGCAAGAAAAAUAGGCUCAUUUCAGCUGAGUGGAUGUCUCUAUUUGAAGGAUAUUUUUCACUGACAUUCAAUUAAUUGAAUUUUCCUGAAGUGGAUGUAUGUAGAAGCUAAGUGAUAAAUUUUAGGAAGUGUACACUUUUAUUUCCCUUAGUUUUAGUGCCAAGUAGGGCUGCAUUUAUAGUGCUUCAUUUUUAAGAUGGUCUAUACAGUGAUUUUUAUCAAAUGGUCCUAUUUGAAAUGUUCUAGCUUGGUAUCCAAAUCAUUAUCUUCAUUUGCAAGUCAGCAAAAUUCUGUGGAUUACAAACACUUAAGCUUUCAGAGCUUGACAUGUGGUCAGAGAAUGGAAAUGGCACUGUGCAAUGGCCAUAACUAGCCAAAUCUCCCAGAUAUUUUGUGGGAGCUUUAUGUAUGAAGAAAUGUUGAGAUGUUAGAAAAAUAGGACAUUAACCAAAAGUAAUGAAAAUGUCAGCAAAAAGUACUGAGUUAAAAUUUAUAAAGAUAAUUCUUGAGGAAAUUAAUUUGUAAACAUUUGUGAAGGGAAAGGAGAAAAGCUUGUGAGAGAAACAAAUACUUGAAAUAAAUAUGGGUAACUAUAAGGAGCAGGAAUUGUUUUUAUUUUUUUUAUUCUAAUAUCAUUGCUAUAUUUUGUCUUUUUUUCCAUUCUAUUUCUAUUUAGAUUUUAGCUCAAAAUGGAGAUGGACUGAUCUAAAAUAUUCGUCAAAAAUGCUUAAACACAUUGAGAACCCAAAUAUACUUUUAAAUAUGGUCAAUGUGUGUCUUUUGUACAUAGAUCUGUGUUCAUAGUACUAGAAAACUGUUGAGGCCAAAUAGUAGAGAGCUUGGACCCUGACGGUAUGCAGUCUUGUUUACACAGAUUAGACUGAAUAGAAAGUCUAUGGCUGGCUGUGAAGACUGCAAGAUUUUCAGGCUGAACAGGCUCAUAUGGAAGCAGCUGAGGCUUUGUAUGAAAAAGUUAGCUUUGUAAAUGAGGAAAGUGAAUAACUGAAUAAAUGCUCAAAUCUUACUCCCUUUUGGUAUAAGAAAGUGGGAGAUACUCUGCAUGGGUGAUUAACUGUAGUGCAGUGAUCACUUUUCAGUCCAGCCUCGACUCCAUUUUAGACAUCAAAAAAAGGUUUAUAAAGCAAAGUAGUCUUCAAAAUUUUCUGUUAACAAUCAUUCUGAGGAAGAGAUUAAAAAAUGUCAAUGAAAUCAGAAAGUCAAGAGGUUUAUUUGGCAUAAUGGGUGAACAGGGAAGUUCUGUUUUUCAAGGAAGAUCAGGGAGUUCAAUGGUAGGUACAAGGCCACAGUACUAAAUGCUGACAUGGACUUUCCAAGGUUGCCCAGAGUAGUGCUAAAGUCAAUAAUUCCAUAUUGCACCUGUCAGAAGCUACAACAUAAUUGCUUUGAAGUGAGGCAUAUUAACAUCCAUGUGCUCAGCAAACUAAGCAAUUAUAAACAGGUCUCUGCUCUCCCUGUUGGCUGUUAUAAUUAUUUGUUCAAUUUGUUGCUUUGCCUCAAUUCUAGUUAAUGUGACUUAUGAGCACUUAGCACAUGCUGGAAAGACAAGGGAGAGAUGUGGCUGCUGGUAGUCUGGCAGUAGUCCACAAACUGUGACCUUAUAGUGACAGGCAAAGAUGGGGCUGAUAGUCAGGAAGGAGUACAGGAUUGUAGGGCAGGAUGCUGCCAGUUGGCAUGGAAACACUAACUCUCAAAGCAUUAAGAUUUUAAAGAAACCAAACUUUUCUUUUCUUUUCUUUUUCCUAGAACAAGAUAGCAAAUGAUUUUGUAACAGUUGCAGAGACUGCUGAUUUUGCCUUUACAAGAUCAUACACACAGUACUACAGGAAUUUGAAAAAAACAUAUAUCUCUCAAUAUAUUACAUGGGAAAUGAGGAAAAUUGUGUUCUUAUGAAAUUUGUUAUCACUGAGUUCGCCCAAUAUGCAGGUGAUUACUUGAAUUUUCCAAGCAGCAGAUGUUCGGAAAUGGGGAGACAGAAGCUGGCCAAGAAAGCUGCCUCAGCAGCAGUGUGGGUUAUAAAUUCAGCAUGGACAAUCUGUUCUUCAAAGUAGAGCUAAAGUGAUUUAAAAGGUUCGUCAAGGUCACGUAGGAAUACUGUACAGGAGUGCUCCAAAGCACCAGCUGUCAGGACUGUCAAGUCUUGCUAAUGAACAGUGGAAUUUGUAGAAAAUAAUACUAAUGCUAAUUGAAACCUGAACAGCUUAGAAGUCUAGCAGGUUAUUGCUAUUGAUUCAUAUCCUAUGAUAAUGUCUCCUACAGAGCAUGCAGAAGUGCCUGUCUACCUGUAGUAUUAGCUAAUCCAUUGUUGAUGCCAUUCAUACAAGUAUCUGGAAGGUCUGAAGCCCUCUUCAGAGAGAGGGGCGUUCUAUUACUAUAGAAAUGAUGGAUCACUUUCUGAUUUUGUAAUAAAUUCUGAGCAGUAUCUUCACCUCAGAAAAGGAGAGGAAAGUGCCAAGAUAGCUUACAGUUCAUUAGGAUUUUUUCCAAGGGCUGGAGUGGGUCUGAAUAAUCUCAGUUAUAAUUUAAUUAAUCUAAUUAUCUUAGUUUCUGUUUUGGGGAAAGAGGUGGAGGCCUUUUUUAUAAAAAGGAUUAAUAAGGAACCAUUAAUAAGGAACCUAGCAGCAGUUGUGUCUUAGGUAUAUGUGCCAAGUCUGACCCUAGAGUUGAAAGAGAGAUAUGUAAAUUCUGGACCUUAAAAUGCUAAAUUGCCCCUAAAUUGCCAAUUAUGAUCACGUGUGUCUGCAUAGGAGAACAAAUCAGAACUCACCCUAGCUCUGGUCUCAUGGUCCAACUGCAGGCACACAGCACUGAGUUUAAUCAAACAAGCCUCACUUCUUCAUUCAGGAAUCUCUGAAGCUCCAUGGUAUGUAUUCCCUAUGUUCUUCUUUAAAUUCGGUUCCAUUUUAAAAUUAGAACUUACAUGGCACUAAGAAUAAUACCGAUAUCUAAGUAGACUGUCUCUCAAGGGUUACAUGACACAUGUAACAAGUAUGUUCAAUUUCAAUGCAGUUUGUAGACUUCGUUAAAGAGAGCAACAUUAUCCCACAAACAGCAUCCAAAACAUUCAAAAAAAUUUUAUAGACCAACAGUGAGGGCCUUGAUAAUGAAGAAAUUUGGUCAGUUUUUUCUCUACAUUGACUUAUGAAAUUUCUUUAAUUGAGUUUUAUGAAAUUCAUCUCAGAAAUUUAGUAAAUAAAAAUCACAGGUUGCAAAUGGUAUUUGUGUAGAUAUGUAAAAGAUCUACAGGAAGACCCUUUGAAUUUUGGGAAUGUGAGCCUAUUUCUACUACUCAAGUGGUACAGAUCCUGAGUGUCACUUAUUAAGUUAUUACUGCAAAACCACAGACUUCUCAUGUCACCAGUUGGACCUCCCUUUGCUUCUUGUCACUGCUUUUACUGUGCUGCCAGAACAAAUACAUUCAUUGAGUGGUAAGUUAUAAUUUUCCAGAUUUAUGCAGUGUUGGAAUAUUCCCCAUGGUAUCUUUCUGUGCACAUUUUGCAAUUCAGCUGCUUAAGGAAAAUUCUGGGAUUUGAAUUGCAAUUAUUUUUAAGUAACAAGUAAUUUAGUAUAAAAAUGGUCUGGUGAGUGUCACAGUUGUCUUUAUGGUCUUAAGUUUCAACUUCACACUGUGAAGACAGUAAGGUUUGUUCGUCAGCCAGAUCUUGAAGCUGAGAAUAGAAUUAAUUAACUGAGAUUGGCAGUAUAUGCUUUCCCUAUGUCAGGACAAAACUUUACCAGUGUUUUGAAAACAACCUUCCAGUUGUUUUUAUAUUAUUCUGACACUUUCUGGGAGUAGUUUUCAUAAACUGUUUUUACAAAUCACUGACAAAUAGGAUCGUAGAAUCAUAGAACAGUUUGGGUUGGAAGGAACUUUAAAGACCAUGGAGCUCCAACCGCCUGCUGUGGGCAGGGCUGCCAAUCAUCAGAUCAGACUGCCUGGGGUCCCAUCCAACCUGGCCUCAAAUAACUCCACAUAUGCCUAAUAUUGAACAAAAUGAAUAUAAAUAGUUCAAGAUUCAAGGAACUUAGGAUAUAUAAAGGCACCUAUAUAAUGCAGUUCAGUGCACAUUGAAUGUUCCAAGUAUGAUCAGUGUAAGACCUUGUCUUUCCAUUUUCACAUUCAUAUUUUCAGGUUAGCACGAAGAAAGUUACUGUUCUUUAAUACAAAUGAGAUGAUCAAAAUUAUAUUUAUCUAUCUGAAAGAUUUUGAAGAUUUAAUACCUCUGUUAGUCCAUCUGCAGAGCCAACAGAAAUCCCAAGGUGGCCAUCUGGACAGAUUUCACUUCUAACAUUCAGCCACCAUUACUGUCUCUUCUCUUAGAAAUAUGUAAUUUGUGGGAAGCAGACAGAAGCAGUGUUAAGACAGCUGCCUGAAGUCUAGCUUUCUGGUCAGAAGUGAAAUGAAUAUUGAUGAAAGAAAGGAAAAUAAAGAAAUCAAGAAGUACAAAUGAAACACAUCUGUAUGAUUGCUGUUUUCCCAGAGAAGAGCUGAAAUGCAGUAAGUAGCAUGGAAGGACUCUAUCAGUUACGGCUCUUUAAUGUAUACAAUGUAUUAAACGUAUAUAACAAUAAUGAAAUCUUCCUGUUCGCAGUUGGAUUUUACCUCUAAGGUUAGAUGGAAGGCCCAUAGCAGAGAUGAUACAUGUAUUCCUGUGUGGAUUUAUUUGUUAAAAGUAUGUUUAAAAUGUUUUAUAAUAAAAGUAAAAUCCACUGACGAAUAAUAUUAUUUGAUAUCUUUCAAUAUAAUUGCAAAAAUAAAAAGAUUCAAAUAUAUUAGAAAUUACACAUUAAAAUCAAAACCUACAAAAAUCUAAAUUGCUCUUUCUUAGCUAUUGUUUUCAAACUGUUGUUCUAAGUAAGGCCCAUGACAGGCCCAUGGCCACUUUUAGCUGUAAUGUAUGAUCUCGAAAAGCUUUUGAAAAGGUUUUACAGUACAACAUAAAUAUAGAAAUCCACCCUUUCUCAGUAAACUUAAGGUUAAAUAUACACAUAAAUUAAUGAUUAUAUUCAAGCUAACAACAUGUCAUUUGUUUUCAGUUAUGAAAUAUUCAAAGCUUUGUUAUGUUGGUGAACUCAGAGUGUCAAAGACAGACACACAUUGUUUGAAAAGCUUAAUCUGGAAAAAAAGAGAGUAAAGUUUGAAGAAGGAUAUGUGAGGACAUAUUUAACUACUGUAAGACUUCUUGCAUGCAUAGAUGUGCAUUUAUGUGUCACAUGCUCAUCAGAAUCUACCUACACACAUCAUAUUAACGUUGAUAUAUUAAGAAGUCUUCUUUAUUAGCGUCUUAAUUUCUCGAAUAACACUUUGGAAAAAAUACUUUAUUCACAGGAUUUUUUUCCUUCUGCACUUUGGAAGAUCCUCAGAUCCUCACAGUUUACCUGAGAUGGAAAGAUUUAUGUUAUCUCAAAGUAAUGCCAGAAUGUACUCAUUCUAAUAAUUUCAGAACUAAUGAUCACAGACAGAUGACUAAAUCAACCUAGCAGCUCUUUUUCUGUGCUGAAGUCUUUCUGUAUUUACAGAUAAUAAAAGACUAGAAGUCUUAAUAACAUCUAGUAUAAUCAGCUUAAGAUUUUGAGUUUUAUAAUGGACACAUGAAACUGAUAAUUGUUUCCAGUAGGCACAUCUAUCUGGAGCUGGAAAGCUGUUUCAAAUUCACUUUUUCUAUAGAACAAGGGCUGCUCCAGAAGUAAUGCCUCCUGUUUUAUUAUGUUGGCCUACAAUGUCAGAAGCAGGUGUUCGUGGCACGGCAGCAGGAGCUGGACAUUCCCACCAAAAUUUCAUUAUAUUUUGUUGCUCUGUGACAGAUGAAAGAAGAGGGACAGUCUGAGAAAAUGGCAUUUGACAUAGAAGUAAAUAUGUGCAAUUGAAUUCCUCCAUGCAUAGAAAAAUUGUACCCAUUGACAUUCAUUGACACUUGCUGCAAGUUCGUAGAGACCAUACAGUGGGUGUGAGCACACUAAGGUGGAGGAUGGUGUGUUACAGCAGUGGCAACAGUGACGUGAAAGACAAACCACGUCUUAUGAGAAAGGCAUGCAGGCACUUGUUCAUCAGUGUCAAAAAUGUGCAAUUAAUGGUUGCUACUACACUGAAAAUAAAUGUUUUGUGGCUGAGAAUAUUCUCUAUCAAAUAGUGCUAUUGUGCUGUUUGCAGGUGGUGAAUUUUUCAUGGAAAUAAAUAGGAGGCAUUACUUUCAGAGUGACCUAUGUAUGUUCUCCACUUUUUUUGAGAAGACCUAUUGAAGUUGGCAUAAUAAAAUAAUUUAUUCAGACAUUCAGUUUUCCUUAUAGUUCUGUCUUAGGCCCUUCCUUAUUGGACAGGCUACGUUUGACUUUUCAGAGGAGAUUAGGUCAAAGUCUCCAUCAGUUGCAGGGUCAGGAUUCUUUCCAUUUCCAACUCAAAAUCAGUCUUUUUUUUUUUUUUCUUGUAUCAUUGUACGGGAAAAUAAUAAAGAAUGUAUACUUUAUUUAGGUAUGUCUAUUACACAUUUGUGAGGUGGUCCCAUUGCUUUAAUGUAGAUGGAAUCUUUGCAGUAACAUAGAGAAAUGUGUUUACACAGUUAUGUUUAUUCACUCUCAUAUUCUGCCUUUGAAAGGACAAAUGUAUUUGCCUAAACUGUAAAAUGCUUUUUGCUAAUGCCUCUGAAAUCUUUACACUUACUGUUUUCCCUUCUUCCUAUGUCUCUUUAUCCCUUUGGAAUAUGAUCCUUUUCUCUCUGUCAUUUAGAUUCCUAUUCUUGACUACUGCAAGAUUCUUUCCUGCUACAUAGGAACCUAUGUUUUUCAAGUUUUUACUUUUGACCAAAGCUGUGUUCUUUGGCUCAUUUUUUACCCUCUUAUAUAACCUUCACUGAACUGAAAAAAAUGAUACAAGAAUUGUCUUUUAAACUUGAAUGAAGCGAUAUCAAACACUGUGCUGCCUAACAUAGAGAAAUGAAUUGAUUUGGGGAAAUUAAAUAUUGAUAUUAUGCUCUCAGGGCCAGCACAAAACUAGGCAAUUUCACAAAUUUUGCAUGGACCUCUGAGAGUUAGUGUGAAAAUAUAUUAAAGUAAAGGAAGUAGGGCAAGUGGCUAAAAGAAAGGAGUCUGUAGCUGACAUGUCGGCAUUGUAAGUUUUCAGCCCUUCUAAGCAGAGCUCCACUGAAUGUAAAAUGGCAAAGAGGAGAGGGUCUUUUGUGUCUCUCCUCAGAUAGGGGCAUUGACAACCUGAUUCAUUUUCAGUACAUGCUCUUGUACCUGCAUGAAGCAACUGUAGAACUACAGAGGACUUUCACUUGAAUUUGGUCCCUAGCUUAAGCCAAACAAAAAGACUUCUCUUCACAAGCUGCAGAAAUAGUUAAAGGGUAAGAAAUUUCAUGUCGGUCAUCAGUAUCAGAAAGUACUGCUGUGAAUGGUUUUGAUUUAUUUUAGUCUAUCAAGCUGAAUGUUAAUUUUCAUGCUAGAAAGAUGUCUUUACUUCCUUGAUUUAUUAAAUAAAAAUAGGUUAAAAAAAAAAAAAGAUUCUUUUAAAGAUACUCUUAAAUGUAUCUACUAUGAUUUAAAUUAAGCAUUAGCUUUUAUCUCUAAAAUGAAGAGCUCGGUUUACUUCUCUUAGUGACUUCGGUUUUAGAAGAAAAAAUUGUGUCCAUGUUCAGUUAUAUGUUCGAAAAACACUUAGUUACAGUCAGUUACAUAUACAUCUCCAAAUACCAGUAAAAUUUCCUCCACUUGUCUGUGUGUGUGUGUGUCUGUGUGUGCAGAUAAAGAUAGAUCGUCAAGCUCUUACCAUCUAGACACUCUUCUAUGUAUUAGGAAGGGAUAUGUUGUGAAGUAGGGCAUAAGCUUAUAAUCUAAGGUCAUAGAUUUGGAACUGCCUUGGAAGUGGUGUGUGAUGCUCAGCAAGACUGCUUUUCUUAACCUUUAUUGUUUGUGAAAUUCAGAAAUGUGCUUCCUGCUCGUACUAGUAAAAAUAACUUGUCUUAUUUUCAAAAUGGAACACGUGUAAAAAACAGCAUGAAAUAUUUUUUUCUACUAAGGAAAGUUUGCCUUGCUUUCUUAAAAAUGAACCCACUAAUCCCUUCUAGAUAUUCAGCAUGAAUGUCAUUUAGCACAGUCUGAGAGCAGAUAAAUAAUCCCAUUCUUCUCUGUUCUCAUUUUCUUAUAUUUCACUGUAUGAAUAAAACCACUUCGUACACUGCUAUGAAAGAGACAAUAUUUAGAAGCCAUAGAGAAGACUAUCAAUUCAUGAAACUGAAUUCUGUAAAGAAAUUCACUCUGAAACAAAAGUAUAUUUUAAAUGUUUUUCAUUUUGAAUAAACUAUACUUCUGUAAAGAUGAAUUUGUUAAAUCAAAAAUUUCUCAAAAUUGUGAUAAAAGAGAAAAAACUUGAAAAAAAACCCAAAAAACUAAACCUCUUCAAUGUCCCCAUUCUCCUCCACAUAAAUCUUCUGUUUAAUAUCAAGUAUCUAAACAUAAACCUAAUUUAAACCCUUUUAAAAUAGUAUUUUCUACUGUGAUUUCUGUAUUAUUAUUAUGUGUUAUAUUUACCUGUAGAUCUUUAACUGAUCUAGAUGAUUUUGAACUUUCUACUGCUGACUAUAUUUAUUCUUUUACAUAUGAAAAUGACUUUACAUAGUACACCAUUUUAUGAAUAUGACUGUAUUUAUUUCUUCUAGUAGGCCGAUAGUCUUUAAGCCUUUUAUUGUUAUUUAUUUUAAAAUGGGUAUUCUGAUGAAUUAUGAGCAUGUGCUGAAACACUAUCUGUAGCUCAAGUUGGAAUACAGCUUUUUGUUCUGUGUACUUUACAGCACUUAAAUCUUUCUCCUUCCCGGACUCUCUGUAUUUUUUUUCAUUUUUAAAAGCCUUCUGUUUAUUGCUUCCACUAAUCUUUAGAUCUCUACUUAACCUCAUUGCCCACUGUUGCCCUUUUCUACAUUUAGAUUUAACCAGCAUGUCAAUUACAGUCUCUCCAGAAAAUUUCUGAAGCAUUUUCCAUUUUUAAUUUUAAAAACCCACCUUUUAAAAUGGUACUUGAACAAUAUCACAGCUUUCUUCAAGUACUGUGUUCAGAGAACUCUGUGUUCUUCCUGGUCCUUAGAAAAUGUCAGUAGAAUUGGAGAAAAGAUGGAAUGUAAAGAUAUAUGUAUAUAUAUUUAUAUAAAAAAUAUAUAUGUAUAUAUAUUUAAAUAUCCAAAAAACCUCGUGAAAUUCAUUGAAUGUACUCGCUAUUGAUACAGUCUUGAGAGAAAGCCAAGUCACAAGUGUUAAAGGGUCUAAGUCUUACACACAAAAACUGAAGCACCUGUGAGAAGUCUGAGAGAAAUCAAGAAUGGUGUAACAGGUGUAUCUGAGAAGAUAAAAUAAAAUACAGAUGACUCCUUAAGUUCUAGAG